rnacentral:rRNA from 1 species
CGCGCAGGCGGUCUUGUCGGUCAGGUGUGAAAGCUCGGGGCUCAACCCCGGAAGUGCACUUGAAACAGCAAGACUUGAAUACGGGAGAGGAAAGCGGAAUUCCUGGUGUAGAGGUGAAAUUCGUAGAUAUCAGGAGGAACACCGAUGGCGAAGGCAGCUUUCUGGACCGAUAUUGACGCUGAGGCGCGAAGGCGUGGGUAGCGAACG